GCCCCCGUGAGGAUGCCCUAGGCUCCCCACCCGGGAGCGAGGAGCUGGUAUCAGGCUCUUCUCUGAAAGAAAGCCCACAACACCUUGCUUAGCCACACCCCCAAGGGAAUUCAGCAGUGAUAAAUAUUAAGCCAUAAGCGAAAGCUUGACUUAGUUAAAGCUUACUUAGGGCCGGUAAAACUCGUGCCAGCCACCGCGGUUAUACGAGAGGCCCAAGCUGACAGUUACCGGCGUAAAGCGUGGUUAAUAACCCCCCCCCGAUACUAAAGCCGAACAUCUGCAAAGUUGUUUAACGCACUCGAAGAUAUGAAGGCCCACCACGAAAGUGACUUUAUACCCUUGAAGCCACGAAAGCUAGGGAACAAACUGGGAUUAGAUACCCCACUAUGCCUAGCCUUAAACUUAGAUAGGCCGAUACUUACACCUAUCCGCCCGGGCACUACGAGCACGAGCUUGAAACCCAAAGGACUUGGCGGCGCUUCAUACCCACCUAGAGGAGCCUGUUCUGGAACCGAUGACCCCCGUUCAACCUCACCUUCUCUUGUUCCUCCCGCCUAUAUACCGCCGUCGUCAGCUCACCCUAUGAAGGCCCAGUAGUGAGCGAAACUGGUACAGCCCAAAACGUCAGGUCGAGGUGUAGCGUAUGAGAAGGGAAGAAAUGGGCUACAAUUGCUUAAAUAGCUAAAACGAAUUGUAACGCUGAAAACGCAGACAUGAAGGAGGAUUUAGAAGUAAGGGGGAAGCAGAGUGUUCCCCUGAAAUGGCCCUGAAGCGUGCACACACCGCCCGUCACUCUCCCCAAGUAAAACCAUCAAGAAUAACUAAACAUUUCACCCUACAGAGGGGAGGCAAGUCGUAACAUGGUAAGUGUACCGGAAGGUGCACUUGGAAUAAA
rnacentral:ncRNA from 1 species